AGCACCUGACCCAGUGAGGGGACACGGGCCAGAGCUCUGGGGUGUUCCAUCAUCCCCAAGAGACAUAUGAGGAGUAGGAGGUUGCUUUGGUGCAGCUGCUUUGUGACAUCAUUGCAAAUUGAAACCUACUCAAGGAAGUGCAGCGGCCCAGAAAACUGAGAGAAGCAACCAGGGCAAAGACAGAGCUGGCUCAGUGGAGAUGAAAAAAGUGGAGGCUUAGAGAAGCUGAACCACGUUUCCCAGCCUCCACCAACUUCUUCAAACUGUGUGGCACCCUGUUCUCAGCACUGCGUGCCCAUCACCAUCUUAAUCAGAUCUCCACGAAGCCUUUGCAAGAUCAGGCCUGUGGACGUUCCCUCACAGAAGGGUCAUUAGGCCUUCACCUGACUCUCCACCCACUCCCUCCUCACCCACCCUUCACCCAGCUCUGCAAAACUCGGCCCUGGCUGCUCGCCAUCUUUUGAAAUGGUAGAGCAUGCAGAAGGUACAUGGUUAACUGAAGAAGGGACACUCUCUUCCGUUGCCGAGGCCGACAGCCAUGCUGACAUGGGACUUUACAGCUCUGUGGCUGUCUUGCAGUCUCAUACAUUCCUAUGAGUAACCCCUCAACCACGCUUCGGUCAGAGAGCUCACCUAAAUAUGAAAUCAUCAAUGAUGCUGGACCAAAGGGAGUCCAGGUAUCACCGAGAUGCCAAACAGAAGGGUACCUCCACAUUCAUGGUGGAGCACAUCAUCGACUCUUCACCAGCUACCUGCAUGUUAAGGAAGAUAUUAUCUGGAGUGCUCUACAUAUGGCAAACACCAAUGUGUGCUGAUUAUCGAGAUCAGCUGGACAAGCAGUGAGAACCCUGCUCAUUAGGCCACAAGAGUAAUCCCGAGGGGGUAAGAAAAAAAACCUCACCAGCCCCCUGAAAGUAUAGGCUAUUAUUAAUUCAUCUUUACCUUGUAGGAUGAAAUUCUGUGUCUGACUUGCUAUGUGCAAUCAGAGAAACCCUAAAACAGUGAGUAAAUUCUCGAGGCCUGAGACCACAUGGCACCUAGUGCGGUGUGCCCUGAAGGAGGUGGACCUGGGAGCCAAGUUCCCAUGCUCAUCUUGUUAGAUUCUGACGUUAUUAUAUUGUUACAGAAUGUAGUGACAUUAUUAUAUUAUUACAUUCUUUGAUCAAAAUGUUCACACUUCUCAAGGCUGAACACUAUAAUCAAAGCUGAAAAAAUGACCCAAAGCAGCUUUUAGAGUCUAUUGAUGAGUUUGAUCGGGGCAGGCCAUAUUCCAAGGGCUGCUUAACAUAGGUAUGAAGUCAAGGACAGGAAAGGUAUGGGGAGUCCACUUGAAGCAUACAAAGAAACGGGAGUGAGCCGUUCCAACUAGGAUCCAUGCUAUUACUGUCUGAACUCUGCAUGCUGACAGUUUUCAGAGAGCAGAAGCCCUGAAUUUUACAAAGUGCCUAUGAAAUUCUUAUUAUUUUUUUAAAACCUUCUCCCUUCUCUCCUGUUGACUACUUGGGAUUUUCCUGCAUGUUACACAUUGUUUCCCAAAUCAAGGAUUCCAGCAGAGUUAUGAUGUCACUCUUCAUCACUCACCAGGCUAAGAAACAAUCCAAAAAUAAGAAAAACGAACAAAUGAACGAAAGUCCUAAAUUGGGUACUGCCAAGAGCUCAGCUGAAUGAAUCCUUGCUGGCGACAGAUAUAUCCUUAGGAAUGGUCUCUUGCAGAUAAUUGCUGAGAAGGCUUACGGUUUACUGACCUGCUGGGGUGCACGGAGAAUUAUUGACUCAGACCUAAUUAAAUUGUUGCCUGCUGCUUUUUUGAAAUUCUGCCAGGGAAUCCUUGCUGUCCUUAGCAGAGUCUUUCAGUUGGAGGCUGUGGCUGAACUGUACCAAGGGCGUUUUAUGGCAAGAAAGGAAACUCAAGUGUAAAUAUGGAAAAGCAAAUAUUGUAGAUUUGUUUAUCUGUUUAGACAGUAUCUCCAUGAAGCCGGUACUACGUAGCUUAACAUUCACUAUGGAGCCAAAGUAGCCCUUGAACUCCCAGAGAUCUUCCUACCUCUUUCUCCCAGGUGAUGACAUUAAAUGUAUAAGCCACCAUACCCUGCAUCUCCCUAUUUCUUUCACUUUUUUUUUCUUUUUUUUCUAUAGCUAUACAGGAAUGCAAGCUUGACUGAAAAUUUUCUUCAGUAUUUUAAUCUGCAGUUGAUCAUCACGGCCAGUAGAUGGUGCUUGUGUCCCUACAAGGAAAAUUCUGGGCAGCAUUAAAUACGAGAAAUUUUUAGAAAUCUGGGAAUUUAAUGAAUCUCCAACUGAACCCAGUAGAGAAAUUAAGAAUAGUUAUUUCUUGAAACAAUUUUAUGACACCAGAAAAAAUAUCUCCACAAGUUCCUCUUUCUUCACAGGAAAACACAAUGCCUGAUGUCUGUCUAAACAUCCCACAUUUGAACUCUAAAUUUAUAUUUAAUAUCAUGGACAUGUGGUUUCAGUAAGGACACUGUGGAUGAUGCCCAGCUCAGACACAGAACUUGGAGGCUUUGAGCUGGAUCUAAUCUGAAGGCUGGCUUUCAGAGUCCUGGAAGGUAUAUUGCAAACUGCUAAGGCAAGCAGACAGCCAAUAAUCCUACACAGCUGUUACUGACACCCACGAACCGCAACAGUGACCAGCACAGCAAGAUGUCCCUACAGCUCAUGGAACAACAGUGUGCAUGUUCCUCAAAGAUCUCAAAAUAGAUCUACUAUAUUAUCCAGCUAUACCACUCUUGGGUGUAUACCCAAGGACUGUAUGUUCUACUACAGCGAGUCUGCUACCUGCUCAUUCAUAUUCAUGGUUGCUCUAUGUAUAAUGGCCAGUAAAUGGAAGCAGCCAAGAUGUCCAUAAUAAAAUGUGGUCUAUUUA